AGGAAAUGAAUAUUGGAUUAUUGCCUUAACAACCUCCAUAAUAAUAUCUCUUAUUCUAAUCGCGGUUCUGAUUGGAGUUUUAUUUAAAAAUCAAAGAAAAGGUGUUUCAUCAAGAAACCAUCAAAUUCCCACCAAUCAGGCUGAUGAUGAAGAUGCCUUGAACUAUGCAGCUGUGAGUUUUGCUAAGAAACCUUCAUCCUCCAGAACCUCCAGAGACAAGAGCCAUGAAGACGUUUAUGCACAAGUUAAAAUAAAAUAGAUAUAAAGAAAUGACUUCACACUUGAACUACAAUAUAAAUACAAUUAUUCACCCAGUUUGUAGACAGAUGUGUCAUAUUUUAAUGAGACAAAAACAUUUUUAUUGCUGUAAGUUUUAUCACCAUUUCCAAACCUUUGUAAUUUACUAAUUUGCCUUACUUGAUGGAUGUAUUUGUUUCUUAAUUUAUUGAUUGAUUUUUAUCCCUUUUAUUGUAAUUUUAUUUUCAUUAUCUGCUGUUUCUAGUUUUCUAGAAUGUAAAAAUUUUUUUUUUUAUUUUUAUUUUAUUUUGAAGGUGAUCAAGAAAUGGCUCAUGGUAAACAAUCUGCUUAAACUUUUAUUUUGUAAUUUAUUUUGCUUGGGAGCUUUGUAAAGAUGCUAAAUCUUUUGAAUAUUGUAAUUACUUUAGAUUAGCUAAAACAUUUUUGUAGCCAGUACAUCUGUAAACGUAAUACAUUUUCCACUUUUCCAGAAAUACUAAGGACAUUUAUGUGCAACAGGGCUGAAUAUAAAGACGAGUGGUUACUGCAUUACUGAUGAGAUUUGACUGUUUAACCUGAAACUAAAUUCCAGAUAGACAUUUACGUGAAUGAUGUCAAUGACCAUAAUUAAUCCAAUUUCAUUUAAUUUUGUUUAAAUCAAUUUUCAACAUUUAUUAAAAAUUUUGUUUAGUACAUAAUUAAUCGACAAAUCUUCCAGAUCAACAUGUUUAUUGACUCCAGUCCUUCACUUGAAGCUCAUGUAGCUAAUAUUACUAGGAUAGCCUUCUUUCAUCUCAGAAAUAUUGCUAAGAUAAGAAAUAUAAUGUCACUACACGAUGCAGAAAAACAGUUCAUGCUUUUGUUACCUCUAGGUUGGAUUAUUGUAAUGCCUUACUGUCUGGACAUUCUACUGGUGCAUAAACAAGCUCCACUUAGUCCAGAAUGCAGCAGCCAGAGUUUUUACUAGAACCAGACAACAUGACCACAUCACCUCUAUCUUAUUCACACUGCAUUGGCUCCCAAUCAAAUUUCGCAUUGAUUAUAAAAUACUACUACUGACCUAUAAAGCACUGAAUGGUCUUGUGCCGCAGUACCUGAGUGAACUUCUGGUCUUUUAUGAUCCAGCACACCUACUUCGAUCAAAAGGCUCUUUGUUGGUACCUUGAAUAGUAACCACUACAGCAGGGGGCAGAGCUUUCUCUUACAAAGCUCCACAGGUAUGGAACAGCAUUGCAAUUAGUGUGCAGGACUCAGAUACAGUCUCAGUGUUUAAGUCGAGGCUGAAAACAUGUUUCUUUAGUCAAGCCCUUUGUCAAUAGUUUUUUUCUUAGGUUAAGGAGCAGAUCUGGAGAGCUCAUGGGCAUAGAGUGUUUAGGGGAACUGGGAUGUUUGGAUGCUGUUUUUCCCCCACUCUCAUACGUUCACUCAGGUUUGUUGAUGAUGGAGCGGCUGGCCGCUUUAUGUUCCAGAUCACCCUCAUGUCUGUGUUACCUUCUGGAUCUCCUUUUUAUUUAUGUUGUCAUACCUUGUCUUGGUGGAGUCCCUGCUUUCACUCUACACACAAUGUACAAUUUCUUUAACCAUUAUGUGACAGUCAGCAUAUCUAAUAAUCUCUCUCUGUCUCUCUCUCUCUCUCUCUCUCUCUGUCUCUCUUUCUCUCGAGUUACACAUGCUACUCCUGAGAUACCAGUGAUCCUGACUCCUUCAGCUGUCUGGGCCUGCUCAUCCUGAUACCCUAUUUCUGGUUGAAAUUUUCAUCACUUGGAAAACACUUGCUGCUGCUGAUGAAUCUAUUAGUCAAGAAAACUAUACAUGCAGCAACCUUUCAAUGGUAAAAUAAACAAAGACAGAACUCGUGUUCAGUAGGGCCUCUCCCCUAUAAAUAUUUCCUCAGUAACAA